rnacentral:rRNA from 1 species
UACAGGGGGUGCAAACGUUGCUCGGAAUUAUUGGGCGUAAAGCGCGCGUAGGCGGCUACUUAAGUCGGAUGUGAAAGCCCCUGGCUCAACUGGGGAGUGUCGUGCGAUACGGGCGGACUGGAGGCCAGUAGGGGGAUGCGGAAUUCCGGGGUGUAGUGGUGGAAUGCGCAGAUAUCAGGAGGAACACCAAUAGCGAAGGCAGCUCGCUGGGACGUUACUGACACUGAGGCGCGAAAGCGUGGGGAGCGAACAGG